rnacentral:rRNA from 1 species
CCUAUCCGUCGCAGGCGCAGGAAACUUGCGAGGAGCUGUCCCUAGUACGAGAGGACCGGGAUGGACAGACCUCUGGUGUACCGGUUGUUCCGCCAGGAGCAUACGCCGGGUAGCUAUGUUUGGUCGUGAUAAGUGCUGAAAGCAUAUAAGCACGAAGUACACCCCAAGAUUAGACUUCUCAUCCGGUUAACGGAGUAAGACCCCAGGUAGACUACCUGGUUGAUAGGCAGCAGGUGUAAUCACAGCAAUGUGUUCAGCUUAGCUGUACUAAUCGGUCGAGGGCUUGACCAUUUA